rnacentral:lncRNA from 1 species
CUUCUGGGAGAGUAGCUGACCUGCACUGGACCUUGUGAACAUGAGAAACAAAUUUUCACUUUGCAAUCAGUAUGGACUCUGUUGGAAUGUAAUGUGUCAAUUUGGUUUCAUGCCUCAUCACACUGGCAGAUAGAAGAGGGUAAUGGCUGCUUUGGGGAGUGGAGGAAGCCAAAAAGAAGGCAAAGAGUGAAGACAGAGAAACAAGAUGUCAGUGGUGGUGCUGAGAAGGAAUAGAGAGACUUUUCUUCGUGCUAAGGGCCGCAGAGGGAGGAAUCCAGCUGAGGACUACACAGAAGCAUCUGGCUCCAGGAAUAACAGAUCAAAUGGUGACGAACUCCUUCAAAAUGGAGAGGGUCUCUAAGGUCUCUUCCAGCUGCAGAAUUCUCCUUUUCCGUGACUCAACCCAGAAUUCAACUGUAGAAAGUUGGGAAAAAUACUAUUCUCAAAGCUGACCACAUGGUGGCGCAGUGAAUCCUCCCAGAAACGAUACUCGGCUUCCCUGAGAGGCGAAUGAUGACACCCCAAAGCUGAAUAAUUCUAGGAGACGCCGCAUCAGUCUGCUAUGCUUCUCGUUCCUGGCGAGAGCAGAAACUUCAUAAUUUUCCUGGGCACAAAAAUGUGAUGAGAACUCUGUCAAGGCAAGCGACUUUAUUUCUCUUCUGGGCUUGCGACCGAAAGAAGCAGUUGAGUAUUGAACCAUAUAUUUGAGGACUGCUUUCUUUUGUUCUCCUUAAAGCAAUGAAUGAAAAAAUCACCACUAGUUUCUCAGGUGUCUCUAUUAUCAUUUUUCCUUCUUUCAUCACUUUUCCUUUAGCCUGUCAGCUGUCUCUUGGUCCUGCAUCCUCUCUAGUUCUGCCCUAAUUUUCCUCUUUUCCUUCUCAGCAAAGUUAUGCCUCAUGACUGUGAUUCACCCUUGCUUCAACUCACCACAGUUUGGAGCCUACGCUCAUUUCUAAAGGUCACAGAUGGACUUUGACUUGCCAAGCCCAAGGAUGCUUUCUUAGUCCUUAUCUUACACCCCAUCUUAAAACUCUCUGGCCUUUAUUUCUUUGAAGCCAAUCUGUCCUGGCAGUCCUCUUGCUUCUUUGACCAUUCCUUUCUGGCCUUUCUGGCCUCUUUCUCUUCUGUGCAUACAUUAACUACUGACGUACCCCAGGGUUCUAGCCUUACCCCAAAGGCUUCAUUUCUCUCUGUACACACUUUACUUGGAGAAUCUCAUCACUAUCAUCAUUUUAUCUAUCACUGAAAUGAUAAUCAAUGUCAAAUUUUUAUCUUUAGCUUUCACCUCAUAUAUGAUCUUUAGUUUCAUAUAUCCUAUAGGAACAGCAAACUCAAGGUAUCCGAAAACUGCCCUCAUUGUCAUCUCUGCUCAUCACCUCCAGUCCUCACUACCAAUCCCCCAACAAUGUACUAUGGGUUCUUCAUUUCUAGCUUAGUUACUGCCACCACCAUCCAGUUGCCCAAACCAGAGACUUAAGGGUCAUGGGAGACCUCUCAUUUCCCUGAGCCUUCCACGUCUAGGCAAACAGCAAGAUCUAAUGGUUUUAGCUCUGAAGUAUUUUUUCAAAUCUGUGUCUUCAGCCCCAUCCCCAAGACCAUGUCCCCUUGCAGACCCUCACCCUCUAUGGCCUGGAGCAUCGCAAUAUGUAGUCUCUUGUCUCUUGUCUUGCUUCCCUUAAAUUUGGUCUCUACAAGAUAGAGAGAAUACUUUACAAAACCCAAUCAUUUAACCUCUUUGCUUAAACAUUUUUACUGGCUCCACAUCAUUUACAGAUCAGAGUAGAAAGUGCUUAAUAUAGGUUACAAAAUCCUACAUUCCUGGCUUACUCCCUCCACUUGCUUUCUGUCUUAUCUGUCACAAGUUCUUGCUCAUAACAUUACAGUCUAAUGAUACUGCUUCUAGUUCCUCAUUCCCUUCCCACUGUUUAUGUCCCUGGCCUUAAUUAUUUUGUUUCCUUUGUCUCGAACUCUCUUCCCAUCAUUCUUUGUCUUAAUAGCUCUUACUCAUCUUAAGACAUCCUUGUCAUAUGAUAUCUCUUCUAGGAAGCUUUCCCUGAACCUCUGGUCGGAUUAAAUGUCCCCUUUUCUCACUCUCACAGCACUGUGUUUACUUCCACCUUAGAACUUCCCAUAUUUUAAUGAAAUGAUAUAUUUAUUUGCCUGGCCCUUCCAAUAGGCGUGAGCUCCUUGAGAGGAAGGAUCACACAUAUUCAUUUUCCUCAUCCCCAGUUCCUAGCACAGGGUUUUGUGCGUAAGGAAUGUUCAAUAAACUUUUGUUGAGCAGAAUUUAAGAUUUUUGAGGCUCAGGGUCCUUAGGGUAGUCUGUGAAAUCUGCUCCAAUUCUAAGAAAACAAAACUCUGGUUUUCAUUGGGGCCAGCUUCCCAGAAGAGAGAAGACAUGAGCCAUGCUGUGAAGAGUUGGGUGUUUAGGGUUUGGACUAAUAGAGAGAAGUGAGGGCUUUAAUCAGACGGAAUUGAUGAGCAAAGGUGAGAAGUCUCAUGUGGAGAACAGUACAGAAACAAUGCCAAGCAAACAUCAUGUUUCUCAUGUGGAGUAGUGGGAGAUGGAACCAGCUAUUAGAAACUUCUAAUGAGGGGCUGGCGGAUUUGGGGCUAAUUUUCAUAGGCAAAAGGAAGCACCUGAGAUUCUUGAACAGAAGAGUGCUAUUUCAGAGCCAUACUGCAGGAAGAGAAAUCCAGGACAAGAUACAAAAGGAAGUGAGAAACAGAUUGGAAUUGGUGAGGCCCAUAGGAAGUUCUGGCAGUUCAACAGGGGCCGGAUGAUGAAGCCGUGGACCAGAAUGGCAGCUGUGUGAAAAAGGAAAGAGUUAGUUUUUGAGCCACUAGAGAAAAAGUUAACAGAGAUUAAUUGCAUGUGGUGACAAGAGAGAGUGAAGAGUCAUGACUUUUUUAGAUAAAACAGCAGAAAGUUGGUGACACAAUUAAUAAAAAAGGGAAAUUGUAAAGAAAGGAUGGUUGUGGAGCAGCAGGUAACUUUGGUUUGAAAUCUUUGAAUUCAAGAUGAUGAAAAUUCACAAUACUUCGUAUUUAUUAGAUAUUCUUAAGGGGCUGUAUAUAUUUGAGUGAGUGCACGAACAAAUGAAAUCUUAAAUGAAAGGGUCUGCCAGGCGAAUGAACCCAAACUACUGGCUUAUAGGGUAGACUGAGUCAAGGACAGUGAUAUAGAUUUAGAAAUUAUCAGCUCAGAGUUGUGAAAACUACUGGAGGACAGGAACUUCUGAAGGAAGAGAUGCAGGGAGAGAAAGGCAGAGGCGCCCAGGUGUGAACCUUGGGUGACUUCUAUCUUUGAGGUAAAAAGAAGAGCCAUUGAAACCCAAUGAGUGUGUAAGGUCAGCUAGGUACAGAUUUUGUGUUCUGAGCCUAAAUAGCCUAUAAGGCAGUUGCAUGCCUCUCAAAUAGAUCAGAGUUGUUUGAACCAGUCAGAUCGCAAAUGUCCAGUUGUCAAAAAUAUUUUUUUUAACAUAUAUGGUGUAUAAGCUUUUGUAAGUCAAUAAGAGAAAAGCAGCAAAUAUUCCAAUAGAAAGAUGGGCAAGAGAGAUAAGCAGGAAAUUUCUAAAACAAACGCAAAGUCCAAGAAACAUCUGAAAAAGUGUUCAACUGCACGGGAAAUAAAAGAUAAAUGAAAAUAAUACGAUAUGAUUUUGUUGCUUAGCAAGUUGGAAAAUUUUUACUUAAAAAACAAUCUCCAGAGUUAGCAAUGGUAUGGGAAACACGGACUUGGUGGAAAAGUAAACUCAUACAAGCCUUCUAGAUGACAAUUUGGUGAAAGUGAUGCUAUUUGGCCUGGUGAUUCGAUUCAGUGAUUUCUUGAAACUUAAAGAAAGAAUAGUUGCUUGGCACCAAUAUAUACAUAUAAAAGUGUUUAUUUCAACCUUGCUUAUUAGUUAUACAAGGUAUGGAGUAAACUCUUUCCAGUAGAUCUUGAUAAUUAUUAAAAUUAUUACAUGCAUUGAAUUGUUUUUAACUUUUAUCCUGAAUAUCUUGUACUGCAGUUCUCAUAAUUGUAAAUUAUUUCUUAUGUGGUGCUCUCACACACUGAUUAUUUUCAUCUGGUAUUUCUAUUGGUUAUUUUGCGGCAUUAGCUCUCCUCAUUCACAAUGCACUUCCCCUCCCAGUGCAGCUGCAUUGUUGUCGAGCCUCAUUUUGGCAGAUGAUCUGUUCUCCCCUCAGUGUUUCAUGGAGGUAUCUUUUACAUCACUGCCCUGCACUCCAAUUGACUGUACAGAAAUCAAUUAAUUUUUAUGCUUCUUUAAACUCUUAAAUCUUUGAAAAAGUAAACAGUGGUUCAGAAAUGCAUAAAAUAUGCUAAACCGCCAGAAAUGCACUCAAGUUUUACAAAUCUUUUUAUACUCCACGUUAAGUUAAAAAUAGAUGACUUGCUUAAGUUUACGUGCUGUGGAAAUUCUAAAUCUCAUUUCUAAAGAAGAUUAAGUAAAUACAUACUUAGAUGCUUGUAUAAUUCCUUGUAAACAGUGAAAUGAGUCCAUCGAUUGCCAUGAUCAACAUUAUAAAGAAAUUAGUUAACAUUAAAUGCUGGCAUUUUCAUUUGCUGGGGUGACCCUGUGCAAACCAAUCCCUUCUGACCCUUGGGAAGUUAUCCUAAGUGUUUUCUAGACAAUGAUAAAUAUAGAUAAAUAGAUAUGUAGAUAGAUGGCAAGUAUUUGGGAACAUUGGGAGAUUGGUUAAAUAAAUUAUAAAUGCGUAAUGACAUAAAUUAUUUUACUUUUCUAACAAGCAUAGGACAAAGUAAGUCACUGCAGUUAUUAGUUAUGGCCUGUUUGAUUAUUCUUUGUUUCUUUGAUAUUGCCAAGAACCAGGAGGAAAAUAGGAGAAGCCCAGUUAUUGGUCAUUAGUCAUGUUUGAACUGUUUAAAUGUUGAGGUUCAAUUUAAGUUUAUACUUGUCUCACACAGCUGUCCGUUUUUACUAAACUGCUUCUCCCUAGGGUGAUGACGUGUAUUUAGCAUAUUGUCAAAUCCAUCUGAAAAGUACUGAGCAGCACGACUUCAUUAUGUAUUGUUUAUUUAGUACUGAAGGGAGUGGGAGCAUGUGGUUGUUUUACAAAUCUCAUUUGAAGUGUUACUGUAACUUAUGGAAAUGUAUUGUUUCUCACUGGUGUGCAAAUUGCAAACCACUUAUCUAAUGUCUCAAAAACAAUUCACUGGGCAAUUCUAGUCAUUUUUGCAGAGGACUGCAAAGGUUGUAGGAGACACCUUAGAGAACAUGUUCCAGUCCAUUCUCCCCCUCUCACAGGAGUGGAGGUAAAGCUCUUCAUCCCACAGUUUACCGAUUUUCUUAUCUGUAAAAUGAUAUGCGAUUUCUGUUAUGUUUGUCGUGUGGAUAAUGCUAGUAUUUGGCCAGAGAUCUGGAGUUGCAAAUCCUUGAGUUCUGUGUGGCCACAGCCACAUCCUAGGAUUUUCCCAAGAAAAGUAUUCCCAUAGAGGUUCAGACAAAGCAAAGCAUAUUCUGUAUUUCUGUAGAACUGUUGGCCCAAACCCCAAUAGUGUUACUUGUUGAGUUAGACUCUUCCUUGCCUAAGCCCCCAUCAAAGUGAACUCUGUCCCCUGCCUCUUCCCUAGCCCCAUCCAGCCUUGGCUUCUGUACCAUUCCAUUCUCAAGGCCAGGGGAAGCAAAUCCAAGGAGAGGCAAGGUAGAUAAUGUCUUCUUAGGAUCUAGAAUAUCUGUGGUUUAACCUCCAAGCCCCAGGGGAGCAUCCUCAGCCACAAGGAGAAAGAGUCACCUUCAGAGGCUUGGAGCUUUAAUUUCCUGGUUAUGUCGAGAGCUCUAGUUCCAGGUUCUUUAGGUCUGUUAAUGUUUUUGAACUUAGUCCCAAAGGGAUGGGUAGGGGAAGUAGAGAGGAAGAGGCCAAUAUAUAAUAAUUGUUGAGAAACAAGAUGGAAGCAGCAUAGCACGGUACAGGUUCUGUUGCCAGACUGCCUGGGUUGAAGUUCUGUUUCUGUCACUUUAUCACUUAGUCAAGUAACUUAUUGGCUUUGUGCCUCUGUUUCCUCAUCUGUGAAAUGGGGAUAAUAAUAUAUGACUCAUGAGAAUUAAAUUACUUAAUAGAGGCAAAGGACUUUUGGAAUAUGCUAAAUGCUUAAUAAAUGCUUGUUAUCAUUAUCCAGAUAUAUCGUGUGGCCAUUCUGCCAUAACCUCACACAGCUGUGUUCCUAGGAAGUGGUCAUCAAUAUCCAGAAAAACGAAUUUUAUUAGUGUGUUCAUAGUAGACUCAGGUAGACUUGUUUAUCCUAAUCACACUCAUAAUCAACUGAUUUAAAAAAUAGACAGACAAUAUGUUAAAUUAUAAUGAAAGAUAAAAUUCCUAGUGAUCUAGAAUGUUUUGGUCUGAUUGUUUGAUCAGUUCUCUCCAUAUAGAAAAAUUACAUGAGAUGGGAAGUCAAAUUAUAAUGAGAAAGUUGAAUGGAAAACAUGAAAUUAGAUAUGAGGAUAUUAUGUAGGCCACUCAACUUUGAUGAUCAAAUGUACUCAUCAUCUUUCAGAACAAAUAUAUAGAUUGGUAGUUAGAGUGCCAUCUUUAUCAAAUAGUGCAGAAAGCAUAGGGAAAACGUUGCUUUUUGGACUUCUCUUUUCUAGAUUCCAAGCAGUCUGUCUCCCUUCCCAUUAAUAGGUUCCACUUUCAGAUAGAAUAUGCCAAAGGGGUUGAGUGUUUAGAUUUAUUGGUUGCAAUCAUAUUCUAGUCUUAUUUUCUUGAGUCUACAUGCUAUUUUCCCUGAUUCAGUUUGGAGAUUCCCAAAUCUCAGGAACACAAUUAUGAAAACUCUUUGAGAGCAAUGGUUCCCAGAUGUUAACGUACAUAGGAAGCAUCUGGACAUCUUGUUGAAACACAGAAUCUGACACAGUAGGCCUAGAGUGAGGCCUGAGAUUCUGCAUUUCUAACAGUGCUCCAGGUGAUGUCAGUGCUGCUGGUCCAUAGAUGCACUGUGAGUAGCCAGUUUGUAGAUUACAGUCACGUGUCCCUUAACAACAGGGACACACUCUGAGAAAUGCGUCAUUAAAUGACUUUGUCAUUGUGCGAACAUCAUGAAGUGUACUUACACAAACCUAGAUGGAACAGCCUAUAACACACCUAGGCUAUAUGGUACUGAUCUUUGCGACCAUUAUCAUAUAUGCAGUCCCUCGUUGACUGAAAUGUUGUUACUUGUAUGGAUUCUAGUGCCAUCUGUUGCCUCUAAAUUUUUUCUGGUUUUACUGUUAGAGAAAAAUAUAAUCUCUAAGUUUUGGAAGUAGCAUAUGAAGUGGGCAGGAGGAGUCAUUUACUCUUGUACAUCGGGGACUUACUUCUCUUUAGUGUACUAACAGCAAAUGACUGCCCUGAUCACGUUGUAUGACUUUUAUUAGAGUGUUUGUAAGAGUGCUUUGUAAACUGUAAAAUGUUGAGCAUACUAAGUGGCUUCUUAUGUGCAUUAACUACCUCUUAAUAAAUAAAUUCUCCUGGUUACAUAGAUUGUUCACAUAAGCAGAAACUGCAUGGCAAAGCGAUGCCUAUGAUUUAUAGUAUCUGCCCUUGUAUUUUGACAUGGGCUUUCUUUUGAAUUCCUUGUCUUCUGUCUGUGGGGUCUAACCCAGGAAGUGCCACUCACAAUGAGUAAGUCUUUUUGUUCUUGUUUCCAGUUUUUAUAGAGGGUGACUCCCUAUCUUUUUGAACAAACUGCCAAAGUAUAUUUUUUUGUACACCACAAUCUUCUGCAUUGUCACUAUUUCAAACAAAUCCUUCAUAUUUGAUGAAAAUCUGUUUUCUAUUUUCACUUGGAGUAGUAAACAGAUGUAUCAUACUUGCUUUAUUUUCAUACAUUGUUUUUAGACAUUGCUGAAUCAUCAUUAUAAUGACUAACAUUUUUUGAGCUCCUACUUUGUAUCAUGAACUAUUACAUACUUUAUGCAUAUUUAUUUUUUCCUAAUCAUUGAAAGAAACCUGGAAAGUGAGGAUUUUGCAUCAGUCAGGACAGGCUUAACCAAGCUGGAGUAACAAACUACCCCUAAAAUUUUAGUGGUUUAGCAAAACAAACAUUUCUCAGCUAGUCAUGCAAAGUCCAAUGCUGGUAAGCAAGGAUUCUUCAUCAUAUGAAGCCAUCAUAUUGACUUAUGCCAGGGUCUUAAUUUAUAGAGAUGAUCGAGUGGGAACGUGAGAAGUCAGUGUCAUUGAAAGAAAAGUUUAUUGUUAUUCCCAGUUCCCCUCGAAAUGAGAGGCAUCACACACCAUGCAGGGCUACAUGGGGGAGCACCAGAGUUGGUCAGGAGGCAGAAGGAGGAACAAGGGGAAAGCAUAGGCCCAGAGCCUUUAUCGUGUUUUAUGUGGGACAGGCAAGGCAGGGUGGAGAAACUGCUUAGGAUUGGCUAGUUUGAAUAACGUUGGUGGGCUCUGGGUUAUAGAGCACACCAACAUAUGACUAGAUGGAUUUUGAAAACAAGAAUGUAUAAGCUAUAAAGUUCUGUUAUAAUUUAAAAAUAGUAAGGCCACAUUCCAGAUUUUAUAAAGUAGACCCAAAUUAAAGUUGACAUUGAAUUGGAAGAGGAUUGCAACAGAGUAUAAAGUGUGUCUAUAGCACAUAAAUUAUAUCUUUACUCUUUUGCAGUCUCCAGUUGUCUGGUACCUGGCCCUGAGUGAUUUAGGGCAGGGGAGAUAUUGGCUUGGUAUGUGAGAGUUAGGGAAGGUAGUUGGGGGUAUGGACUUGGGAUUGGUUGGAGGGGAUUGUGAUAUGAUAUUUGUGCACUGAUGAAAGCUGGAUCACAGGGGAGAUGUAAACAACUUUGGCCAUUAGUUUGGUUCUGUGGUUAAUGGAUGCCACAUAGACAAAUAUAGAAUAUAAGAAAGCACAGAACACAUGGCCUCUGGCUUUACCAUAGCAGGUGAGACAGCUGGAGGUCCCCAAAGGAUGUUUUUAAGGGUCAAAUCUCCCUGUCCACAGCCAAGUUAUAAUGGUCCGAAGUUUACUGCUUGGAAGACUGAGAAAUGCAGUCUUUCUGUUGAUUAGGAAGAAGAAUAUAAGAUAGGAUUUGGUGAACAAGUGUAUUGUCUCUGCUGUAUUAUAAUUACCUCCAAUUUACAAAAGAGCAAACUGAAGUUCUGGUAGAUUGUGAUUUAUCCAAAGAACUCAUCUUGCAAAUAGAAGACCAGGGCUUGAAUCCAGGCAUUCCACGGUCAUCUUCUUUCCCAGUAUUACAUGACCUGUGAAUUGAAUAUAAUAAUCCUGACUGUGAUAGACAAAACAUGACAACUGAUCAUAUUUUCCAAGUUUGUAACUGAGAAGGCACUGGGGUUAUAAUUAGUGUGAAAGUCAUAGCAUAAUUGAACUAAGAGUUUAGGGACCAACUGGAUCUUAGUCUGCCAUUCAGAGCAUCAAAUACAAAGGAAAAUGCCUGAUUUUUUCAUGGCAUUGUCAGAUUUUGAAGAUCAUCAGCCAGGGGGAUUAAAUCAGCCUGGUAAAUAACAGUUAGCAAAGGCCUUCAAUUUUUCUAUGAAGAGAGAGGUAGGAAGAGCACAAUCUCAUCAUUAGCAGGUACUUUUUGGUGAACUAGAUUGCUGAGAGUCUGGCCCACCAUCCCCAGGGUGACUACACCACAUUCUUGCCAGUGCUACCUUGAUAACUUAACUGGAGAGUCAUCUUCAACAUUGCUAAUGGUGAGGUCAGGGAGGGUACAGUCCAACAUACUGGGGCAGAAAGUCCCCAGUUUUCACCACAAUGGGUUCCUGGAAAUUAUGUCAUAAAGCAUAUGAAGUGGAUCAUGUUUUGCCAAAUAAACAAUGCAACACGUUGGGUAAAUAUUGUCCUGCUGAUCAAGAACUAAAUAUCUUUUUUUUUUUUCCUUUUUCUCCCCAAAGCCCCCAGGUACAUAGUUGUGAAUUCUUAGUUGUAGGUCCUUCUAGCUGUGGUAUGUGGGACGCUGCCUCAGUGUGGCUCGAUGAGCGGUGCCAUGUCCGCACCCAGGAUUCGAACCGAAGAAACCCUGGCCUGCCUGCAGCGGACCACACGAAGUUAACCACUUGGCCACGGGGGCCGGCCCCUAAAUAUCUUUUAAGUCAAACAUAUGACUAGAUGGUUUUUGAAAACAAGAAUGUAUAAGCUAUAAAGUUCUGUUGUAAUUUAAAAAUAGUAAGGCCACAUUCUAGAUUUUAUAAAGUGGACCCAAAUUAAAGUUCACAUUGAAUCAGAAGAGGAUUGCAACAGAAUAUAAAGUGUGUCUAUAGCACAUAAAUUAUAUCUAUACUCUUUUGUACAUUUCACCCAAAAUAAUCUGCCAGUUAUAACAAUAAGUAAUUUUAUCUUCAACUUUAGAAUGUAAGGCUUUGUUGAGAUUAUCCUCGUGCCUCAAGUCUCUUUAACAACUUGUCUAAGUCUGAGAUGAAAUAUGUAUGUAUAUUUUUAUUUUUUCUCUCUACGAAGUUCCCAAUAUUAAGUAUGCAUUUUCAGAAAAUCAUCCCAUGGAUUUAUUGGGUAGAGGGAGAAGUGUACCAGGGAAAUGCAGGUCUCCAACAGGGAAAUGGCAAGGACUGGCCCUGGGCUUAAAGCUGGUUCAACAAUGGUUGAAUUCCUCAUUCCUCUCUUAGAUAUGGCAACAAUUUAUGAAAUAGAUCUUAUUUCAAUUAGUGUGUUCCACUUCCUGAAUAAAUCGUAACAAGAGCCCUGCUAAGUAAAAUAUUUCCUUAUUAAAAUCUCAACCGUCAAUCAUCCAGGAAUUCUGCUUCUAGAUAUAUACCUAAGAGAAAUGAAAACUUACGUCCUUGCAAAAAUAUGUCUAUGAAUGUUCAUAUUAGCAUUAUUCAUAAUUGUCGAAAAGUGAGAACAACCCAAAUGUCCAUCAUCUGUUGAAUGGAUAAACAAAAUGUCCUGUACCCAUACAAUGGAAUGUUAUUUGGCCAUAAAAGGAGUGAAGUACUGAUACAUGCUACCAUGUGAAUGAACCUUGAAAACAUAAUGCGAAGUGAAAGAAACCAGACACAAAGGACUGCGUAUGGUGUGAUUUCGUUUGAAUGAAAAUUUCAGAAUAGGCAAAUCUAUUGAGACAGAAAGUAAAUUAGUGGCCGGGGCUCCAGUGGAGGUGGAGGUGAUCGCCACGGGAUGCGGAGUCUCUUUUUGGGGUGAUGAAAAUGUACUAAAACUUAUUUGGGCAAUGGUUGCACAAUGUAGUGAGCCACUGAAUUGUACACUUUAAGUGAGUGAAUUGUAUGGUAUGUGAAUUACAUCUCAAUAAAGCUGUCAACAACAACGACAACAACAAAACUCCAUCUGCUAGACAGCUCACCACCCCAUGAAGCAGGACAAAAAUCCUUUUAAAUACUAUAUGUUCUGAUUUCAGUAUCAAAAAUAAGUCGUUUGUAGCAACAUUUCUGGCACCAUGGUGUGGAGGAGGGAAAAUAAAUAAAUGAUAUAGUCCCAGCUCAUCCAGAGUUUAAAAUAUUGUUGAGGAGAUAAGACUUACAUCAAGAAACACUUAGAGAAAUCCUUUUUACAAUCAGCCUUAUGAGGGUGCUUUUGGCCAUCAUUGUUAGGUCAGAAAGUUUUGUCAACGUGAAGCACUUUUUGACAUAUUCAUUGCACAGAUGUUUAUAAGUGCCUUCUACACUCUAGAUACUAUGUUUAUAAAGGAGGACCACUGUUUCGUUUUCUAUCUCUUCUCAAAAUGUCAUGGUCUAGGGGAAUAAAGGUUAAGAAUGUUGAGACCAUCACUUCCAGCAGCAUCGUGGGUGCUGGAAAGGGCUUUGUGAUGAGGUUCCGAAGACCCUGACUAAUUUGAGCAUGACUGUUCCUUGGCUCUGUUGUCCUGAGCAAGUCACUUAUCUUUAAACGAGAGUUUGCUCCCUUUAUAAAAUGAGGGGACUGGAUUCUCUCAGGUUCCUUCCAACUCUGUAUCUUAGUUAUGUUGCGUAGGAUGUUGAUCUGGGUCAUUUUAGAAAGCAUUUUCCCCUUUGGGCUGCUUUUAAGGAAAGAAAAUGAAUGCAUUUUGAAAGAGAAACUCAUUUGAGUUUGUUACAUAAAUAAUGCACAUUUACCAUGGUGAUCCGAAACCCUAAGGUUUAUGGUGAGCAAUUAUUACUUCACUUCUUACUUGCAUAUAUGUGAGAAAAUCACUCGUGUAGCUGAAAAGUGCAACUUCUCUCUACUCCCAGAAAGUGUUAGGAUUGCAUCCUUUGCCUUUUGUACUACAUUUAUUUACAAUUUUAGGAAGAAGAAAAUUAAUAAUGAAACUUUAAUAAUCAACCAUAUUGUUACUGGUUUCCAUAUACCGCUUUAUAAAAGACUCUAUCUCUUGCCAUCUGUUGGCAUUUGAUCAAAAACCAAAAAAUGCGAAAAUGAGUCAUGGCUUCAUGAGUCUUACUCUCUCUCUUACCCUUUACCUUUAUGGCAGUGAGUGGGAGAGAAGGUGUGUCAUACCCAAACCCACUGAUAGCCAGUAACAGAGGAAAUGAAGGGAGCUCUUCAAAGCCCAAGGCAAGAAUGUCUGUCUGUUGUGGUGACUAGCUUGGAAAAUGAAAGUUUGAUGUUGUUUUUCUGUGAUAAUCAUUUUGAUCUUCCAAUUCUGUAUUCCUAAGAGAGGAGGAAAAGCAGGAAACAGAGAAUUGGGUAUAGUACACAUUCCCUAAGAUAGUGAAUAUCACGUGUGACCUUGUGAACGUUGACUUUGGGUGCCAUUGGACAAAAACACUGUUAUGGGUUGAAUGCUGGUGUCCCUCCAAAAUUCAUAUGUUGAAUCUCUAAACCCCAAUGUGAUGGUAUUGGGAGGUGGGCCUUGGGAGAUAAUUAGGUUUAAAUUAGGUCGUGAGAGUGGGACCCUCAUGAGGGGAUUAGUACCCUUAUAAGAAGAGGAAGAGAAAUCUCUCUCUCCAGGUACCGAGGAAAGGCCGUGUGAGCACACAGUGAGAAGGUGGCAGUCUAGAAGCCAGGAAGAGGGCCUUCACCAAGAACUGAGUCUUCUCAUAUCUUGAUCUUGGACUUCUCCAUCUCAGAACUGUGAGAAAUCUCAACCUCCAGAGCUGUGAGCAAUAAAUGUCUGUAGUUCAAGCCACCGAGUCUGUGAUAUUUUGUUAUAGCAGCUGCUGAAGAUGAUGUUUUCUGUUUGUGAAUGAGCUGCUUUGGCAUUCAAAUUCCCCAGGAUUUAUAGACUUAUAAUAAACAAUAUUACCUUCUGACUCUGGGACUGGUAUUCCCAUGUCAUCCCUCUUCUCACUAGCAGCCACUAACAGCCAAUCUGACUAAGACAGACACCUUUUGUUGAAUGGAACAUACCUGUCACAAAGGGGAGAUCAGGGAACUUUCCUUCCUGUAAAGGUAACUCCAACCUAGAACAGCCUAUAAGUCUCUCUGCUAGAACCAAGACCAAGGAGCUAUUUUAGGUAAGGGAGCUGUCCCAGGGCACAUGCGAAUAGCAUUACAAAAGCAUUUUUAAAUCUUGAAUCAUAGAUCCUCAAAUUUGGGAGGAAACCUAGCAGUCAUCUUGUGUAAUCCUCUGUUAUAGACGAAGAGACCCAAGAAGGUUAAGUGACUUCUCCAGGGUCCCACAGCCAUUAACAGAGUUGUGGUUAGCACCUCGGUCUCUUGAAGCUAAAUCUGAUGUUGCUUCCAGAGGGUUAUCUAGAAUAUAUCAGAUAAUAAUUUCUCAUAUAUAUAGUAUAUGUUUGUUUUUAUUUAAGAAUUUGAGGUACCAAUUCGUGGCCUAUUUUUAUGUGAAUAUAUAAUAUCUUAAAGAAAGUUAAGAUGAUGCAGUCCAUAUUCCUUAUUACCUAUAUAGUUCUUCUUCCUCGUUUUUUAAGGACAGGUCUUUUUUAAAUUGUGGUAAGAAUUCUUAGCAUGAGAUCUAUUCCGUUAACAAAAUUUUUAAGUGCACAGAACGGUAUUGUUAACUGUAGUCACAAUGCUGAACAGCAGAUCUCUAGAACUUAUUCAUCUUGUAGAACUGAAACUUUGUACCCGUUGAUCAACAACUCUCCAUUUCCCUCUCCCCCAACACCUGGCAACCACUAUUCUGCUCUCUGUUUCUAUGUGUUUGGCUAUAUUAGACACUUCAUAUAAGUGGAUUCAUGCAGUAUUUGUCUUUUUGUGACUGGCUUAUUUCACUUAGCAUGGUGCCCUCCAGGUUUAUCCACGUUGUCACAUGUGGCAGGAUUUCCUUCUUUUUUAAGGAUGACCAAUAUUCAAUUGUCUGUAUAUAUCACAGUUUCUUUACUCAUUCAUUCAUCGAUAUACAUUAUGUUUUUUCAGUUUUCAAAUAAUUUUCACGUAAAGAACAAGAAACUGGGAUCUUUAUUCUUCAUGGUUCCUCUUGCAGUGGUAAGCACAGUGUGUUGUACAUGAUUGUUACUCAAUGUUUAUUCACUGUUUUACUCUGUAAAACAUAAGAAAGGAGUUAGCUAUCCCUGAUUACCCAGUGUAGAAAUUAAGGCAGAGAUUUGUCUGUGUCUAUCAACUCUCUGUACCUCAGUAGUCUUAGCUGAAGACCAGAGAUGACAGUACUCUUUCCUCAUAGGUUUAUGAUGUCAGAUUAAAGAUGGCCACGAAUUCUUUGCCACUUUUCUGAUGGAGAGCUGGUGUUUAUUUCUCCUCCUCUUGAAUCUGGGCUGGGCUGUAACUGCUUUGACCAAUAGAGUAGAUUGGAAGUGAUGGCAUAUCAGUUCUGGACCUAGCCUUUAAGACGACUGGAAGCUUCUUUCUCAGUCUCUGGAGUCCUGAGCUCCCAUGUAGAAAGUUCAACCACCCUCUGGACAUACCACAUGGAAAGGGAGGAGGGAAAACCUCAGCAGAGACCAGCCUUCCAACCGUCACAGCCAGGGCACCAGGCAUGUGAAUGAGGCUAUCUUAGACCCUCCAACAAUUCAACCACCAGUUGAAUACCAUCACGUGCAUGCCGUGCGAAACAGACAAAUGGUCUGGCUGAGCUCUGCCCAAACUCCUGACUUAAACAACGGUGAGCUAUAACUAAAUCCUUCUUGUUUUAAUCCACUAAGUUUGGGGAUAGUUAAUUAUGUUGCAAUAGAUAACCUGAGUAGUUGUUAUGAGAAGUAAAUGAGUUUAUACACAAAAAGCAUUUAGAACAGAAUGUGUUUUAUCCCUGAGAUGUUUUUGCACAGGAAAACUGUUGAGAACCCCAAAUCCUAAAAAGUAAUAUCGUACGUUGGUUGAAUUGAAUUGAAAAUGGUUAUGUGCUUCAUGAUAUUUGAAAAUUAUAGAUACAUAAUUAUCUAUAUCAAAUGAUAAUGUCAACUGUGUCAAUACUUGGAAAUAAGGGAGAGUAAUGUCAAGUAGGAAACCUAGAAUAAAAUAAUAUGUAUACAAUGACCACAAUUAGGUAAAAUAUUAGGGAUCGGAGGACAGACCUGAAUAGUGUAAUUAGCUUUUGUUUAAAGUUUUAUAGGAUGUCUUUCUGACAAGGUUAAUUGAAAGCAAAUCCCCUAAGUGUCUUCUGUACAAUAUUAACUCUCCAGAUGCUUCUAGCAAACAGGAUUCCUUUAUCAAAUAAGUUCAUGCACAGCUUCUAUGGAGAUUCUCCUCAGAAAUACAUGGAACAUAAAAUCCUCUGGGAAAUAAACUUUUUCAUGUUGUACUUCUCAGCUUUCUUCAGACUACUUUGAUCCCCCAAACCCUUUUCCUAAAGGACACUUGUUAAUCUUUCCCAGAACCACUGUCUGCAGAACAACCUCAGGAAAACAUGGGCCCAGUGUCCACUUCUCCACGUGGGUGGGCCUUGGUGACUCUCACCAUGAGCUGCGCCUGCUACAACAGGACAGGGAGCCCCCGGACUGACUAUGAUGCUGAAAUCCUAUUUUAUCUUUACCUUUUCAAGCAUUUAAAAGUUUGAUUUUUGUAUCUGAUGGCAAUUCAAUAGACAAGUCUGUGGACUUUUUUCUCUUCCAAGCGACUCAGUCAAAUCAUUGAUCUAAAAAUCAGCUUGUAAUGGAACCAUUUAUAAGAGGAGGGUAUUUUUGGCAUGCAGAUAGUCACACCUGACUUAUGGAUUUAAAAAAUAUUUAAAAACUGAUUAGAAUGAAUUUCCUUGGACUUUUUAAUGGGAAAUUUUGUCCUAUGUCUGACAGAUGGGUUAGGGAGAGUGAAAGUGAACACAGGCUAUUGGCUAGGGGUCCUAGGGAGUGCUGAGGAAUCCAUGGAAAUUGCUGGUCCUCUGGGAUUUUUCAAGUUUUAAAACUGCCAUAAACAGUGACAUUUCUGUUUUUCUCCCUUUAAUUUAUUUUUUCUUGAAAUCUAUUUGUCAAAAUGAGACGACUAAAUCAUAAAGAAUGACAGAUCCAAUUAACUUGCAUUGUAUACUGCCAGAUGGCUCUCCUAAGUGAUUGAACCAGUUCUUUAUUUUAUGUCAUAUGAAUGUAUUUUUUAAAUUAAUUCAGUAAAUAUGCAAUAGGGCCUCAUACUUGUUUUCAAUUAUAUUUCUUUAAUUAUUGCAAUGCCUGAACCUUUCCCAUGUUUUGUUACUAUGUUUACUAAUCUAUAAACUACUUAUAUCAUUUUAUUUCUUGUUAAGCUUAGCUAUCUUUAUGAAAAGUUGCAAAUAUGCUCAGGAAAUAGAAAUGAAAGCUGAGUACAAACCACUCAAUUUCUUCUCACUUGGGACAAAAGAGUCCAGCCCAGUUUACUGAACCAGCCCAAGGGAGCCUUACUCCUCCCCCUCCACCAUCCCCACCCUCUCACCUCUCACCAGACAAUGUAAGCUCUGUGAGAGCAGAGAUCAAGUCAGCCGUGUUCAUUUACCCUGUGCUUGGCAUAGAGUUGGUAUUUAGCAAGUAGCCAUGGGAAGAAGCAGGAAAGAAAGAAGGCUGACAGGCCAGGAGGGAAGGAAGGCAGUCAGGAAGGAGAGAAGGCAGGCUGGAAGAAAGGAAGGCAGGCAGGAAGGAACAGAGGGAGGGAGGGGCAGAGGGACAGGGAGACAGGCUGUGUGCCUCUCAGAAAUGUCCUAAUAAUAAAGAGCAUUAUCCUUUAACUUAUUUUGUAUUUAACAACAGAAAAUGUGCUGUGGUUCUUAUUUUCAUGCUUCCUUGAUCAAGUCGCAUAAACUCACUGGUCCCAUUUUAAGGGGUCUGUGAAGAGGUUCACUAAGGUUCCAUCUAGCCUUGAAAUGAUGCCAUGAUCUGAAAGAUAUACCGACAGAGAACUUCAGUCCAAACUCAGCUACAGAUAAAAUAUAUAUAUAUCCCGUCCUGUUUCCUUUUAUUUCCCCGUACAAAUAUGGGUGCCCCUUAUUGGUCCUCCCCACCCCUUGCACGAAUGUGGGCAUGCACACACAUACUCGCACGCUAAUUCCUGCCUUAGAGUCUUUGCUCAGGGUGUUUCCCCUCCUAAAAUACCCUCCCUCUCCUUCCCUCUCUGCUCAGCAACAUCCUUCCCACCCUGCAAGGCUCUGUGUAAGUCAUAUUGGAAGCCAUAUAAUCAUAACACUGCUGCCUGUACAGCAUCUUUGCUUUCUACUUUUCCUUUUUACAAGCUCUUCCAACAUUCCAGUGAGUCCCUCAGGUGAAGACCGUGUGGUUCAGCUGUCUGCCCCGACAGGGACCGAGUCCCUGCCUACUUCUGAUGAAACUCUCAAACUUUGGACAGGUCCCUGGCUGUCCCCCGGGGCAAUCCCCCCCGCCUGGAGCUGACGUGGUUUGAACUCCCACACAGAGCUGCUCUUCUGCCCUACUUCUGGAUUUUACUGUAACUUGCUUAGCAGCCGGAGGUGCUGAAGUUGCAGAAAGGCCUUGUGGGUUUGCUUUUGAUAAUGUUCAAAUUGUUUCCAAAACUGUUCAGCAUUUCCUGCCCUUGUUAAUAGGCUCCUUCAGCUCAUUUUUUUGUCAUUGCUUGUCCUUCCCAGGCUCCUUCCCUUAUUCCUUAGUAACCAUUUUGAUAUUUGCACUCCUCUUUCUCAGGGUUUCUCAUCAGCUCACUAUGACUUUCCUCACUCCAUUUCCCUGUCUCCCUUACCUCAUUCUGCCCCUCCCCCAAACAGCUAUGACUCCCCUGACUUUAUUCCUUUUGUCAUCACUGUCUCAUUUUCCCCCUGGCGUCCAGUUAUUGGCAUUGUCCCUUACUUCUAUUAUUUAAGUAACAAGCUUCCUAGGGAAAAAAUUUCCAAGCCAUUUAUUUAGUGAAAUUUUUUUAUAUCAGACUGACCUCAGAUCAAAUAUGACUUCUGACCUUAGUUGUUUGACCUUUGGCAAAUCUCAGUUUUAUCCUUUUAUUAUUAUUAUUAUUAUUUUUGAGGAAGAUUAGCCCUGAGCUAAUAUCUGCUGCCAAUCCUCCUCUUUUUGCUGAGGAAGACUGGCCCUGAGCUAACAUCUGUGCCCAUCUUCCUCUACUGUGUAUGUGGGUUGCCUGCCACAGUGUGGCUUUAACAAGCGGUGCACAGGUCCGCACCUGGGAUCCGAACUGGUGAACCCUGGGCUGCUGAAUCCGAACGUGCAACCUGAACAGCUGUGCCACUGGGCUGGCCCCUCAGUUUUAUCCUCUCUUAAAGAGGGAUGAUAAAUUCCAACCUUCACAGAUUGUGAGGUUACAUGACAUAAUUCACAGACAGUGCCUGAUGUCACAAUGAAUAAUAUUCGUCUUCCAAUUCUAUUUCCUAGCUUUUCAUGAGGAAGCUACUCCAUUUCAGGGCUGAUCAUUAGCCUCCUACUUGUUCAUUUAUGCACUAAAUAUUUGAAUGCUGAGCACAUGGCAGAUCCUGAGGUAGCAUUGGAGAUACAGUGAUAAAAUGUGUUAGAUGAUGUCACUGCCCUCACAGAUUUUGUAGUCUAGUGGGAGAUUUGGGCAAGUAAACUGACAUCUCACUCUCCGUUUUUCUCCCCCUCACUUAGGAAAAGCUCAGUGCUUCUUUGUGUCAGACCCUGUGCUUCUUGUUAGGGUCCCCAGUGGGUACCCCUUCCCUUCAAGGAGCUGCAGCCUUAUAACUGGCUUAUGUGUCAAAUAGAAGCACAAUUCAGAGAAAGAUCUGAC